GGCUGGUCCGAAGGUGGUGGGUUAUCUCAAUUGAGUGUUCACAGUCGGUUACAGACUGUUGUUCUGCGCUUUCCCUCCUUCUCACUACCGCCCUUGGCUAGUCUGAG
rnacentral:Y_RNA from 1 species